rnacentral:rRNA from 1 species
AGGACGAACGCUGGCGGCGUGCUUCAUACAUGCAAGUCGAACGAGAAUCUGACUUCGGUCAGAGGAAAGUGGCGGACGGGUGAGUAAUAUGUAGAGAAUCUGCCCUUUAGUGGGGGACAACAGUUGGAAACGACUGCUAAUACCCCAUAUGCGCGUAGCUGAGAUGCUAUUCGUGAAAACUCCGGUGCUAAAGGAUGAGUCUGCAUCUGAUUAGCUAGUUGGCGGUGUAAUGGACCACCAAGGCGACGAUCAGUAGCUGGUUUGAGAGGAUGAUCAGCCACAAUGGGACUGAGACACGGCCCAUACUCCUACGGGAGGCAGCAGUAGGGAAUUUUGCGCAAUGGGGGAAACCCUGACGCAGCAACGCCGCGUGAUUGAAUAAGCCCUUCGGGGUGUAAAGAUCUGUCAGUGGGGACGAAACUUGACGGUACCCACAGAGGAAGCAUCGGCUAACUCCGUGCCAGCCGCCGC